rnacentral:rRNA from 1 species
GAUGAACGCUAGCGGCAGGCCUAACACAUGCAAGUCGAGGGGUAUAAGGAGCUUGCUCCUUAGAGACCGGCGCACGGGUGCGUAACGCGUAUGCAAUCUACCUUUUACAGGGGGAUAGCCCAGAGAAAUUUGGAUUAAUACCUCAUAGUAUAUAGAGUCGGCAUCGAUUUUAUAUUAAAGUCACAACGGUAAAAGAUGAGCAUGCGUCCCAUUAGUUAGUUGGUAAGGUAACGGCUUACCAAGACAAUGAUGGGUAGGGGUCCUGAGAGGGAGAUCCCCCACACUGGUACUGAGACACGGACCAGACUCCUACGGGUGGCUG